AAUCAUUAAUAGUACAUAGUCAAGGGCAGUCAUGGCAAUCUAAAUAUGAUGUUUUAGCCUGCAAAGUGCACUAGUAUUAGAAGAAGAGAAAAACACUUCAGAAAUCAUAAAACAACUUAAACAAUCACCUAACCCUACAUUCACAAAAGGGGUGAACGAGUGGGUGGAGCAUGAUUCUUGUACUAGAAGGUCAUGCAUUUGAUUCUUUCCAACACAUUCUCGGUCGAGCCAGUCACACAGGGUCUUCCUAGUGCGGUUUACCUCUCAUAUGUGGUUUGCAGACUAAUACACACAGGAGUGGGCUUUACCUCAUCCAAAUUGAGCCUAAGUUUGAGAAAUAUCAGUUGAAAUAAUAAUACAGCAAACUUCCUAAAGAAGCACCUGCAAAUGAU